AUUGAACGCUGGCGGCAUGCCUUACACAUGCAAGUCGAACGGUAACAGGUCUUCGGAUGCUGACGAGUGGCGAACGGGUGAGUAAUACAUCGGAACGUGCCUAGUAGUGGGGGAUAACUACUCGAAAGAGUGGCUAAUACCGCAUGAGAUCUACGGAUGAAAGCAGGGGAUCGCAAGACCUUGUGCUACUAGAGCGGCCGAUGGCAGAUUAGGUAGUUGGUGGGAUAAAAGCUUACCAAGCCGACGAUCUGUAGCUGGUCUGAGAGGACGCUCAGCCAAACGGGGACUGGGACCCGGCCCAGACUCCUACGGGAGGCAGCAGUGGGGAAUUUUGGACAAUGGGCGAAAGCCUGGUCCAGCAAUGCCGCGUGCAGGAUGAAGGCCUUCGGGUUGUAAACUGCUUUUGUACGGAACGAAAAGCCCCGGGUUAAUACCCUGGGGUCAUGACGGUACCGUAAGAAUAAGCACCGGCUAACUACGUGCCAGCCGCCGCCGUAA
rnacentral:rRNA from 1 species